UACGUAUGUCCCAAGCGUUAUCCGGAAUUACUGGGUGUAAAGCGUUUGUAGGCGGUUGGUUAAGUAGGAUAUGAAAGACCGGAGCUCAACUCCGUGUUUGUAUUUUAAACUGAUCAACUAGAGUUAGGGAGAGGUAAGCGGAAUUCUAAGUGUAGGGGUGCAAUCCGUAGAUACUUAGAGGAACACCAAAAGCGCAGGCAGCUUACUGGCACUAUACUGACGCUGAGAAACGAAAGCGUGGGGAGCAAAAAGG
rnacentral:rRNA from 1 species